GUAGUGUGUUGGACAAAUAUGAGGCUAACUCAGAGUUUGAUUUUAAUUUUUGUUUUUAAUUUAAAGUUUAAAUUUAAGGUUAAAGUUAUAUGAUUAAAGUGUAAUUUUAAAUCAAAACUUGAGACAAAACGAAUAACCAAUAGAAAUAGGAACAUUAAAUUUUUGUGUUAGAAUGUUAAGAUUAGUUUUAAACUUAGUGAGUAAGGAACAGAAGUUUGAAAAUGAAUAAGCGAAAUUAUAAAGGAAAAGAGAAGAGAGGCCGUAUAAUAAGAACAAGUAAGAGAUUAGAAGUCAAGCAAUAUAUUAUUCAGGUUAAAACCGAGAUCAAAAUGUGGAUGAAGGAUAAAAACAAUACGAGCUGUAGGAAUAGAAGUAGGCUAAGGCAAAGACUAAAUGACCAAUAUAAGCAGGUACCUUAAGACAUUCGUAUACACAUGCUUAGUAAUAAGGAAACAACUUUAGACUGGGUAAGGAAAAUAAAGAUUGUGAGAAUUUUUAGCUUGCCCUUAAAGUCUAUGUAUAUUUUAAUAAAAAAAAAAAAAUCAAGGUAGUGAUGGUUAUAAACAGCAACUGGUUAAUGCAUUUUUUUGUAUUUUAUUGAAGUUAUGAUAUAUUUCAACAAGUGAUACAUAAAAAUGCACAUACGUUUUAAAUGCGCGCACUGUUGUAUGCGUAUAUAGCCACGGAGCAUAUAACUUCGGUACAUUUUAUUGUUAUGACAAGUUUCACAACCUGUCAUACCCAUUAACUUUAACAAUUUAUUAAUUGUUGUAAGAGAGAUAUUUCUCGCUUUACGAAACAGGGCGACGAUUUUAACUUUUAUAUUUAGUUUCUACGCGUGAAAAUACACAAUAUAAGUUGAGUUUCAGCCAAAUUGAAGAUGACUCUAUAUAAUUACCAAAUUUUUAUUCAUUUAAUAAUCAAUAUCCUACAUUGAUUCUGUUUUUCAUAAACAAUUAAAGUUGAAGGGGCAAGUUUUGCAAAAUUGCUUUACAUCAUAAGGAUAAUUGGAUAUAAUUCCUGCAAGGUCAGUUUUUCUUUAAAAAAGUUUAUUUUUCUUAUUCAUUGUCAAUGUUUACGUAACACUCUUAUGAUACUAGUACAAUUACAACAUGUACUCCAUUCACUUAUCGUGAAUGAAAAUAGUAAUCCAGUUUUCUGUAAAUAUAAAGUUUCUCGAACUGUUUCGCUGUACAGAGUAUCAUGACUAAAAAUAUCAUUAAUAUACAUUUCUCUUUGCAACUUUCAGAGUUCCUGGCGUUUCGACUGUAGACACGUUAGAUUGUCUUAGAAGUUUAUAAGAAACAAUUAUAUUACUUGUACCUCACUAUGUCUAUUAUACAUUGAUUUAGACUUUUGUAGCAUGCAAAUCAAGCUGUGUAUCUAAUAAUAUCACAUUCAAAACUAUGUGUUUGAUAAUAUAUCAGUAUCAUAUCUCCUUUAGUUCUUUCUCGAACAAAUGGAUGUGUAAUUCAAUUUAUGUGCUCUUUUAGAUGUGCAAAUGGAUUUUAAAUUCUAUUAAUCCAUGAACUCUAAAAGGAGGAUCUAAUAUUUCAUGCACAUAAACUAAAUGGAGGAAGUAAAAUAUAAUGUUACUUCUAGCUGGUAUCUCGUGAGGGCAAAGAAAAAUCAUUAAAAUCCAUUAAAAACCACACCAAAUCACCUUAAAACUUCAGAAAAACCUAAAAUUUUGUAUCUCCCAAAAAUGUGUUGGUAACGACUAUAACAAAAUUCUGGCCAGUACUUUAACCACAGUCGAUAAUAACUGAUUGUUUAAUCUCACAAAGGGACCAGCCAGGAAUUCUAGCGUAUUUUUGUGAUAGAAUACGAGUGUUUUUAAGCGUUUUAAAUUAAAAGCUUAUAUUAUUUGAAGAACUUACAUCUUGGUUACGCUAAAGUUGCUAGACCCAAGGAUUGUUUUGAGGUGAGUUUUCUUUUAUUUUUGCGAUUUUUGAGGUAAAUGUACCUAGAUUUUGGUGGCUUUAGGUGAUUUUUCUUUGCUUCACAAGAUUCCGGCUAGAAAUGAAAUGCUGAUUUAGAAAAACAUAAAAAAUUGUAAAAUUAUCACCAAAUUUAAGAGGAUUUGAUAAAUUUUAAUGUUUUUGCUUAAUUUUGAGAUUUUUGAAUAAUAGGAAGAUUUUUGGGAGAUACAAAAUUUUAGGUUUUUCUGAAGUUUUAAGAUGAUUUGGUGUGGUUUUUGAUGAAUUUUAGUGAUUUUUCUUUGCCUCCACGAGAUACUGGCUAGAAGUAACAUAUUAUACUCUAGUAGAGAAAGAUAUAAAAUCCAGCUUGGUUUAACAUAUUAUAAUAGUGAAUCACUUGUUUGUUUUUUAAUGGUUUUGGAACCAGGUUCAUUAACCAAAAUACUACUGGUAAACCUUCUUCAGUAAGAGCAAUCGAGCCAAGCAAAUCAUUUGUAAUUCCUCGCUUCCGCGUCACGAUCCGAUAUAGCUACAGCAAGAUGCCAGGAACUUUGAAGAAAUAUUGAGGGAAUGAUCCACAAAUAAUCGCUUGUAAAACUAAAAGUAUUCGUUAUUAGAUACACGCCUUGUCAUUGUCAACUUGUACGAACUUGUUAAUAAUAUACAGUUCCUGCAUAAAUAAUUGCUAAUUGAUGAAAAUAUGUAUGAUUAAAAAUUGAUGUACUAAACACUGAAAAAAAAAAAAAA